GCGGGCGUAGCUCAGUGGUAGAGCGCAACGUUGCCAACGUUGAUGUCGUGGGUUCAAGUCCCAUCGCCCGCUCCA
rnacentral:tRNA from 2 species